rnacentral:rRNA from 1 species
AGAGUUUGAUCCUGGCUCAGGAUGAACGCUAGCGACAGGCCUAACACACGCAAGUCGAGGGGCAGCACAAGGAGCAAUCUGAGGUGGCGACCGGCGCACGGGUGAGUAACGCGUAUGCAACCUACCUACUACAGGGGGAUAGCCUUCCGAAAGGGAGAUUAAUACCGCAUAAAACAGGGGUCCCGCAUGGGAAUAUUUGUUAAAGAUUUAUUGGUAGUAGAUGGGCAUGCGUUUCAUUAGCUAGUUGGUAAGGUAACGGCUUACCAAGGCAACGAUGAAUAGGGGAACUGAGAGGUUUAUCCCCCACACUGGUACUGAGACACGGACCAGACUCCUACGGGAGGCAGCAGUGAGGAAUAUUGGUCAAUGGACGCAAGUCUGAACCAGCCAAGUCGCGUGAAGGAUGACGGUUCUAUGGAUUGUAAACUUCUUUUGUACUAGAGUAAAAGUAGGUACGUGUACCCAUUUGCAAGUAUAGUACGAAUAAGCAUCGGCUAACUCCGUGCCAGCAGCCGCGGUAAUACGGAGGAUGCGAGCGUUAUCCGGAUUUAUUGGGUUUAAAGGGUGCGUAGGCGGCAAAUUAAGUCAGCGGUAAAAUUUCUGGGCUCAACCCAGUCGUGCCGUUGAAACUGGUUUGCUUGAGUACGGAUGAAGUAGGCGGAAUUUGUAGUGUAGCGGUGAAAUGCAUAGAUAUUACAAGGAACUCCAAUUGCGCAGGCAGCUUACUAAACCGUAACUGACGCUGAUGCACGAAAGUGUGGGUAUCAAACAGGAUUAGAUACCCUGGUAGUCCACACAGUAAACGAUGAUUACUCGCUGUUUGCGAUAUACAGUAAGCGGCUUAGCGAAAGCGUUAAGUAAUCCACCUGGGGAGUACGCCGGCAACGGUGAAACUCAAAGGAAUUGACGGGGGCCCGCACAAGCGGAGGAACAUGUGGUUUAAUUCGAUGAUACGCGAGGAACCUUACCCGGGCUUGAAAUGCAAUCGACGAAGGUGGAAACAUCUUUUCUAGCAAUAGCGAUUGUGUAGGUGCUGCAUGGUUGUCGUCAGCUCGUGCCGUGAGGUGUCGGCUUAAGUGCCAUAACGAGCGCAACCCUCACUGAUAGUUACCAUCAGGUUAUGCUGGGGACUCUAUCGGGACUGCCGCCGUAAGGUGAGAGGAAGGUGGGGAUGACGUCAAAUCAGCACGGCCCUUACGUCCGGGGCGACACACGUGUUACAAUGGGGGGUACAAAGGGCAGCUACCUGGUGACAGGAUGCUAAUCUCUAAAGCCUCUCUCAGUUCGGAUCGGAGUCUGCAACUCGACUCCGUGAUGCUGGAUUCGCUAGUAAUCGCGCAUCAGCCAUGGCGCGGUGAAUACGUUCCCGGGCCUUGCACACACCGCCCGUCAAGG